CACACACACACACACACACACACACACACACACUUCUUCAGAUGUGGCCAAACACUUAGAGCCCAGUUUAGUGUUUUAAAAGAAUGUUCAUAAACAAGUAAUGACUAAUAAUUGAUUCAUUCUACUCAGGCUUUAAAUAAAAAUGACAUAUUGUUUAAAAAUGACAUAUUGUAUUGAUAAGAAAUAAAUGCACUGUUAGCAAGAUGUUACAACAGAGAGAUAACUGUCGACUCUAUGGACAGUGCCAGAACAUAUCUUUCCUUUAAAAGUCAGGUUUCCCAUGCUUUAAUUAUGAGAAAAAUUCCUGAGGUCAGGGUCAUGAUCGGUACACACCCAAUGUUCUUUAGUAUUAACUAUACUGAGCAAAACAUCAUUUCUUCUCAGGGUGUGACUGCAUGUCGUGACUCAGACAUUGAGACAUUGAUAUGACGUUAGUAGGCAUUGAAUAUAAAUAGACUUCUUAGAAUCCGGUUGAUUUGACACAGUACUGCUCUUUAUAUUUGAUAAGACUCAACUGGCAAAUAUUGGUACGUCCUUGAGCAAGCUGACCGCACUGUUGAAUUUAACAUUCAGGUUACAUUGUGACACAGGUUACUGAGUGCAGGUACUACAGUACAGGCCAUCGUUGUGAGAAGUGUCAUGUGUCCUGUGAGAUGUGCUCAGGUCCGGGACCAGAUGCCUGCAUAGUGUGUGUCCCACCUCAGCUGGAGCUUCAGGGCACCAGGGUGUGUGUGGAGCGGUGCCCUCCCCAUUUCUACCAAAGCACACAUACCUGCUGGCAGUGUCACUCUAGCUGCAAGACCUGCACAGGUACAAGCUCCAUGCACCUUAAAGGGGUCAUAUCAUGAUUUUUAAAUGUUUUUAAACUGUAAUUAUUUUGAUUAUUGGGUGUAAUAGAAAAGAUUCAUGUGCUUUAAUGUUCAAAAAACGCAUUGUCACAUACUGUACAUUAUUGCAGUACCUCUAUUCCUCUAUUCCGGAAAUGUAACGCCCCUUCGGUUAGCUUCAGCCUCCGAGGCUUCUGAAAUAAUUCUACGCUCCUAAGCAACAUGUCAUUUUUAAUGUAUCAGUUUCAGCGUGAGUCAGAUUCGGAAAAUGUGGAUGAUCAAGCAGAACCAACUUUGCAAACACAACUUGAGCAGAAGGUUUCCCAGUGGUAAGUUUUUAUUUUGUAACUCUCUUUACCUUUCAGAUACGAUGUAAAUGACGACACCCCACCGGUGGGCCGGCGCGUUAAGUGCAAAACUAUGCUUCUGUGUGUACAUGGGUACUCAUGCAAUAUAUCUUUGGAAAGCUAAGAUUCUUGUGAUUCGAUUGAUAUAAACCAUUUCAAGAUACAAUUACAACAGAAGCUAUAAUCAACAUCUUUGUCAGACCACCAACAUACAAACACCUGAAGAAACUUAGCCUUUAGUUACCGUUGCAAUCAAAAUUAUUCAACCCUCAUUGAAUUUUAUUUAUCUUUACAUUGUUAUUAUUGCCAUAUCAAUUAUUCAUCAACUUCCUUGUCAAAUUGACCUACUGUGCUCUACAACUAUAAAUCUAAUGACUCUUUGUGAAUGUACAUGUGUUUGCACACCUCAACACACCUCAGAGCUGUCUGACGUGCGACUGGGGCAGUAUCUUACAGGAAGGGGUGUGUUACCCUCGCUGUGAAGAAGGCCGCUACUACUCUCAAAAUCUUUGUGUUUGGAGGCUCCAGUGUCACCACAUACCCAGGCUGAGGACGAUGAGAUGAAUCUGAGGUCUCGGGUAUAAGAGCACACAUCUGCCGCCCUGCCUACUGCUCUGAUCUUGGCUGUAGUCCUUGCACUGGGCAUCUUUGCAUUGACACAGGCCCGUGCCAGGAAGAGGCUGUGCUGGAGACAGAGUUAUGAGAGGCUGAGCGGGACGGCGGGUGCAAGGCCUGAUCCACGCCCCAUGCCUCAUGGAGUACCCGAGCCUGAGGACAGAGGAGAUGAUGCAGACGUUGUGUAUACAAGUCAAGACGGAUCCAUCUAUCGCCGCUAUGGGUUCAUACACAAACCUGAGACUGAGGACGAGAAGGUGGAUGAAGCCAAUGAGAACAUAGUCCUCAAUCGGGCAAAAAGAGAGCAAAGGGCAUGUUAAGAUAUCCUUCAAGAUUGGGAUCCGGAUAGUUCAAAAUUUUAUAUUGCAGUUUACUUUUUUUUUCAGUGAAAUGAAGGUUAGCAUGCAGCAUCUCUCAUUGUAAAAUAUUUUAUAUGUAAGAAACACCUAUUAUACACCUCUUGUUUUAUUUGAGAAUGAAUGGUUAGUUAAAAAAAAACUUUAUAGCAUGUAAUACAUUUGAUUCUGUAAAUAAGUAACUGUUAGUGAAAGUUUAAAAUUGAUAGCUGUAGGAAAUAAUCUGUGGAACUGUGUUUGAAUGAACAAAUAUAAAACAAUAUUCUUUAUAACUCCAGUUUCAUAAAUUUGAUUGUUUUCCUCUAACAACUCUCCUGUUCUUUGGAAAAGACAUAUGCAAGUUUAUCAAGUGGCAUGUUUGCUGCUUUGUAAAUAUAGCUGUAUUUGGUAAAUUGCUUACUGAAUUGCCAGUUCAUAUUGUAACAAGUAAUUUGUAAUGUUCCAUUUGUAUAAAUAUAACAUGUAAUUCAGAUAAAAUGUCUUUUAAGUCUUUAAAGUGUUUAAGUAUUAAUUUUUGUGACAUUUCUGUAGUACAGUCUUAAGCACUAUUUAGGCCUGGCUUCUAAUACAGAAAUGAAUGAAAAUCUAACGUACACCCACAUUUGUCAGGAUAGACAAAAAACACCAAAUCUCCUAAACCCUAUUUACAUUACAGUUACUGUGGAUGCUUCUAUAGCUAAAAACUAAUAUAAUAAUACAGAAUAAUAAUACAUUAUCAUGGCCUUAUUGUGAUUAUGGCUGGGGAAGUAAGAAUGAACAGGAAAGGGUUACAAAAGGGGGAGGGCAGGGCAGAGCAAUAAAAAAAAAAAGGUGAGAGGAUGUGACAGAUCUGGUUUAUUGUGUUAUAGUGUCUUGCAAAAGUAUUCACCCCUCUUAGCAUUUUUCCUAUUGCAUUUCAACCUGUAAUUUAAAUGGAUUUUUAUUUGGAUUUCAUGUAAUGGUGAAAUGAAAAGAAUAACUUGUUUAAAAAAAAAAUAUUUAAAACAGAAAAGUGAUGCAUGCAUUUCUAUUCACUAUUUCUAUUUACUAUGAAGCCCUUAAAUAAGAUCUGGUAUAACAAGUUACCUUCAGAAGCCUCAUAAUUAAUUAAAUAAAGUCCACCUGU